rnacentral:lncRNA from 1 species
CCCUAUGAUGUGCUUCGGUCAUCAGGUCUCAUCUGAUUGACCUUAUGGCCACAAUUCAUUGUCUGUUCUGCCUGGAGACAAGCACAAGCAGUGUAGAGUUCAACUGGACAAGACCCCAGAAGUUCUUGCAAAGCUAUUUUGGACUUAUUACAGCUCACUGGUCCAGGGAGAAGUUGAGGUGCCCAGGUGGAGCAGCGCCUAGAGGAUGACUUGAAUACUGAUAGUGGUACCAUUGAGGCUAUUGGAGUAGGGCGUUGUAAAGGCCUUAGGAAGAGGAAUGUUGAAAACCCUGGAGCUGUUGGGCCAAUGGACUUCAAGGGCACUCUGGAGAGGCCUACAGCAGUGGAAGAGUUCCUGAGAGGUGGGUUUGCGGAGUCUGGCACCAAGGAUCACAGUUGGCCUCUGUUAAGUUCUCAUGGCAGUCAUUGGCUUCAGGUUGGAAGGUCUGAAGGUCAUCACAGAAAGGUCUCUCGUACUCGAGGUCUUCAAAUAACAGAGCUAGAGGAAUCUCAGAAAGAACUUCCAGGUCAACCUUUACAUGGAAAUUGGUGCUCAGAAUUUCCCUCAGCAUGUCCCUGUGGCCUCCCCUCAUCAAGUCUUCACCUCUACCUUGCUCAGCCCUCAGCGUGUUCCUGUGGCCUCCUCCCCUCAUCAACCGACUGCAGGUUGGGAAUCAGUGUCCUAUCUGGGAGGUGAUUUACCAGCCACUCCUCUUGAAACCUCUUCAUCUGCACCAGAUUUUUUUUCCCCCUGGGGACCUCAAUUGCUCGAAGAGGGGCGGGUGAGGUGCAGGACUGUGCUUGCCAAGCCAGCUCCUUGGGUCCUGUGAAAGGAGCUCAGAGGGCCUCUCCCUUCCCUCCGGCCCUCAGGUGCAGGAUCAGAGGACCUGACAGUCAUCUAUUUAUCAAGCAGCUUUAUGCCUUUAAAGGAGGAGCUGGGUGGCAUGUACGUGGAUCUCUGGAAGGCAGGAACCUGCCAGCUGUGCACAGCUCCAGCUGAGCUGUCCUCCAGCACUGUCCUCCUAUGAGGACAGUGAGCUGUGACCUGGUGGCUCCCUUCCCGCCCCUACCAAGGCCACUGACUUGAAAUAAGUACCAACCCUGGAGACUCAGCUGGCCAAAGGUGGCUCUUCCAUAGCUCUACACUCAGCUUCAGCCUUCCCACGUAAGCCUUUGUGGUCAGCAG